rnacentral:snRNA from 1 species
GUGCUCACAUCUGCAGGACAUAUGCUAAAAAUUGGAACAAUACAAAGAUAAGUAUGGCCCCUUGUACAAAGGUGAUGCUCAAGUUUGUGAAGUGUUUCAUAUUUCU